GACGAACGCUGGCGGCGUGCUUAACACAUGCAAGUCGAGCGGUAAGGCCCUUUCGGGGGUACACGAGCGGCGAACGGGUGAGUAACACGUGGGUGACCUGCCCUCAGCUCUGGGAUAAGCCUGGGAAACUGGGUCUAAUACCGGAUAUGACUCCAUGACGCAUGUUGUGGGGUGGAAAGCCUUGUGCGGCUGAGGAUGGGCCCGCGGCCUAUCAGCUUGUUGGGGGGUGAUGGCCUACCAAGGCGACGACGGGUAGCCGGCCUGAGAGGGCGACCGGCCACACUGGGACUGAGACACGGCCCAGACUCCUACGGGAGGCAGCAGUGGGGAAUCUUGCGCAAUGGGCGAAAGCCUGACGCAGCGACGCCGCGUGAGGGAUGACGGCCUGGUGUAACGUAC
rnacentral:rRNA from 1 species